rnacentral:rRNA from 1 species
UUGCCAGCAUUCAGUUGGGCACUUUAAAGAGACUGCCGGUGUUAAACCGGAGGAAGGUGGGGAUGACGUCAAGUCCUCAUGGCCUUUAUGCUUAGGGCUACACACGUGCUACAAUGGGUGGUACAAAGAGAAGCCAACUCGCGAGAGCGCGCCAAUCUCAAAAAGCCAUCCUCAGUUCGGAUUGGAGUCUGCAACUCGACUCCAUGAAGUUGGAAUCGCUAGUAAUCGCGGAUCAGCAUGCCGCGGUGAAUACGUUCCCGGGCCUU